rnacentral:lncRNA from 1 species
AGAGAUGCUGGCAGCUCUUAAGGUAGCGUUACUCUGCACCGACAGCACACCAGCUAAGCGGCCAAAAAUGAAGAAGGUAGUUGAAAUGCUUCAAGAAAUAAAGCAAAGCUGAUGGAGCCGCCUGUGAAGCUAUUUGAUUCUGCACGGCCUAUAUUUAUUAAGACUAUGGUUAGUGGGCUGUACACAACAUGAGAAGCUUGUUUCUGAAUACAUGAUUCGUUUCUGAUAUGCCUACCUGGAGGAGUAAGACUCACUUUGUAUAUUUCAUUUCGACCUUGGAUUCUGUCCAUUUGCUUUGUACCAAAUUCAGUUCCAGCAAUGGCAACUUGUAAAGUACUAUUUGAGUCAGGAAAAAAAAGAAAGCAGUUGAAGGGUGGAUGGACGG